rnacentral:rRNA from 1 species
AUGGCUGCGCCGCCCUGGGACUUCGUCGGCCUCCUGUCCCGACCCGGCCUGCUGCUGGCCUCGGCAAGGCCAGCGCCUCCUCCUCCUUGCCUCGUCCGGGCUGGUAGCUGCCUCCCACGCCCCAGCAUCGUCACCUCCACCCCCUGGAACCGCUGGUUCUCCUCGUCACCGAACCGUGCGCCUUCUCCUCGCCCUGCCCCAUGUCCAGUGUGUGCGCCAUCGCCUCCUUGCUGCUGCCCGCCUGAGGUCCUUUCGUCUCGCCGGGUUUUGGAUCGACAAGAACAACACGCCAAGACCCGUACCCGGACCGUCAAGCACCUUCAAGGAAUUUGCCAAGUACCAUGA